GACCCUGUUGGGAUAUUCAUUGAAGGUCGGUCUCCUAAUCCGAAGAUUCAAGGUUCGAGUCCUUGCAGGGUCG
rnacentral:tRNA from 1 species